rnacentral:rRNA from 1 species
CCAAUAGCGUAUAUUAAAGUUGUUGCAGUUAAAAAGCUCGUAGUUGAACUUCGGGAUCAAUGGAUUGGUCAUGCCGAUGGUGUGUACUGGUCAUAUUGGUUCUCACCUUCUAAGGAACCAUAAUGUCAUUUAUUUGAUGUUGUGGGGAAUUAGGACUGUUACCUUGAAAAAAUUAGAGUGUUUAAAGCAGGCUAACGCUUGAAUACAUUAGCAUGGAAUAAUGAAAUAGGACAUCGCAUUCUAUUUUGUUGGUUUCUAGGAUCGAUGUAAUGAUUAAUAGGGAUAGUUGGGGGCAUUAGUAUUCAAUUGUCAGAGGUGAAAUUCUUGGAUUUAUUGAAGACUAACUACUGCGAAAGCAUUUGCCAAGGAUGUUUUCAUUAAUCAAGGACGAAAGUUAGGGGAUCGAAGACGAUCAGAUACCGUCGUAGUCUUAACCAUAAACUAUGCCGACUAGGGAUCGGAUGAUGUUGAUUUUUUAAUGACUCAUUCGGCACCUUACG